rnacentral:lncRNA from 1 species
CCCUCCCCACGGCUGUCCCCCCGCAGAGCCGUGCAGCCCUGCCUCAGCCUGCUGAGCUUCGACUGCGAGCGGCUGGAGAGGAAGCUGCAGGCGCUGCACCGUGCGCAGCUCCCCGCGCCGCCCGCCCUGCAGCAGCAGCACCAGGAGCUGCGGCAGCGCCUGCAGGCCCUGCGCUCACAGCUGCAGCACGGCGGCCCCGCAUGGCGCGCAGGUGGGACCCGGCCCCGCACCCGCCCUCAGGGCCCGAUCCGUCCCCGUUGGUCCCAUUGGGUCCCCAUUGGGUCCCCGUUGGGUCCCCCUUGUGUCCCCAUUGCGUCCCCUUUGUGUCCCCCUUGUGUCCCCAUUGGAUCCCAUUGGGUCCCCGUUGGGUCCCCAUUGGGUCCCAUUGGGUCCCCCUUGUGUCCCUCUUGUCUCCCCAUUGUGUCCCCGUUGGGUCCCCAUUGGAUCCCAUUGGGUCCCCGUUGAGUCCCAUUGGGUCCCCAUUGUGUCCCCGUUGGGUCCCAUUGGGUUCCCUGCUCCCCGUUGGGUCCCAUUGGGUCCCCUUUGUGUCCCCAUUGGGUCCCCCUUGUGUCCCCCUUGUGUCCCAUUGGGUCCCCUGCUCCCCAUUGGGUCCCAUUGGGUCCCCUUUGUGUCCCUCUUGUGUCCCCAUUGGGUCCCCCUUGUGUCUCCAUUGGAUCCCAUUGGGUCCCCUUUGUGUCCCCGUUGGGUCCCCGUUGUGUCCCCACUGUGUCCUCGUUGGAUCCCCAUCGGGUCCCAUUGGGUUCCCUGCUCCCCAUUGUGUCCCCAUUGGGUUCUCCAGUCCCUACAGUGACCCCAUUGGGUUCUCUGAUCCUCAGUGGGUCCCCAUUGUGUCCCCAUUGGGUUCCCUGCUCCCCACUGGGUUCCCUGCCCCCCCAUAUUGUCCCCAUUGUGUCCCCUGCCCCCAUAUUUUCCCCAUUGUGUCCCCAUUGGGUUCCCUGCUCCCCAUUGGGUUCCCUGUCCCCCAUAUUGUCCCCAUUGUGUCCCCAUGUUGUCCCCAUAUUGUCCCCAUAUUGUCCCCAUGUUGUCCCCAUGUUGUCCCCAUUGUGUCCCCAUAUUGUCCCCAUAUUGUCCCCAUAUUGUCCCCAUACUGUCCCCAUACUGUCCCCAUAUUGUCCCCAUUGUGUCCCCAUGUUGUCCCCAUGUUGUCCCCAUGUUGUCCCCAUUGUGUCC